rnacentral:rRNA from 1 species
GCCAGACUCCUACGGGAGGCAGCAGUGGGGAAUAUUGCACAAUGGGGGAAACCCUGAUGCAGCAACGCCGCGUGAAGGAAGACGGUUUUCGGAUUGUAAACUUCUGUUCUUAGUGAAGAAGAAUGACGGUAGCUAAGGAGCAAGCCACGGCUAACUACGUGCCAGCAGCCGCGGUAAUACGGAGGGUGCAAGCGUUACUCGGAAUCACUGGGCGUAAAGAGCGCGUAGGCGGGAUAGCAAGUCAGAUGUGAAAUCCUAUGGCUUAACCAUAGAACUGCAUUUGAAACUGUUAUUCUAGAGUAUGGGAGAGGUAGGUGGAAUUCUUGGUGUAGGGGUAAAAUCCGUAGAGAUCAAGAGGAAUACUCAUUGCGAAGGCGACCUGCUAGAACAUAACUGACGCUGAUGCGCGAAAGCGUGGGGAGCAAACAGGAUUAGAUACCCGUGUAC